UGUUCAGCCCAGAGGCGGGAAUUUUGGCGAACGAGAGAAGGGAGGGAGUGUCGAAGGUGAAAUCAAUAUGGCGGCAGCGGGGAGCAUUAGCAUGACCGAAGUGGAGAAUUUACUUAGUCGAAUAUUUUCUUCUGUCUUUGGAGGAAAAGGUUAAGAGACUGGUAGCUCAUCAUCCAAACGAUGUUCAAAUAACACAAACGACAGAAUCGUAAUUUUUGUGUUAUGUGGUUUCAACUAAAGGACUAGCUAACGGCAAGUAGGAAUUCACUUUACUGUUUCCCACGCCUCCUUUUUGGAGGAGACAGCUUGAAUUCAACAAGGAAUUGUGGAUUUGAAGCAUUUAUCUGACAAAUUAGGAAACACAAAUGAAGCACAAGUCACAUAUUCUGCCCUCAUGCAUGUUGAUAUUUUAUAAUACAUUCUUCAAAAACGGACCAGGAGCCUCUCAGAACCAGACAGGAGAACCACAACCAGACGCAGCUGAAGUUGCAUCAAGGCCGCGCAGAGUGCGGCGGGCUUACGGCCUCAGUAGCAGCACAGUGCUGUGACAUGAUGAUGGAGCAGUCACAGGCUCGCUUUGAGAAAGCACAGCACUUGGUGUCGUUUGACUUCAAUGACAGGGUGAUUAGCAUGUUUGCAUCCCAGAAAACUCGAUGUGAUCUCUUUAAAUAAGUGACUGUUUGAGAGUGAAAAACUCCACUGUGCAUGGGGAGGAACUAUUGAGGAGUGGAGGGGAGACAGUGUUUCGCAUCUUGGGUUGAUGGAUCCAGGUGAAAGCCUCAUCGAGAUUUAAACGUCCUUUCCAGGAGAGACCUGGCCACCAUGGAAGCAAAGUUUACAACAAAUACAACGCAUAACAUAAAAAUUACUGCAUUGUGGAUUUCAAAAUAAAAGCCUUCCCUGUCUGCGUAGACUUGAACCUGCUGCAGUCAGAUUCAAGUCUACCUAUCUGUAGGCCGUCGUACCUGGACCUGGGGAGCGUUUCGUGUCAACACGUCUAACAACGAGACACAAGCAUCCUGCAGUUUUCAUCUUCACUGGUUUGGUUUGCUUCUUUCUUCAAAAUGUUGGCACCAGAAGUCUCUGUUGCUUCUUGAAGUAUUUAGUGCAGGAAUGCUGACAGAGUUUGGUACCUGCUCGAAUAAAACUUUUAACAAACUGACUCCAAGAAGAAGCUU